CAUGGUGUGGGCCCCUGCUUCAGAAUAUAGACCCUUCUUCUGCCCGGUGGGCAGAAGGCAGGAAGGGAUAUUUGCAUUUGGAAGUGUGGGAUCUGAAUGGAAGUCAGUUUGCACAACUGGACAUGUCUGGAAACAGGAAACAAGCUUCACUAUUUUUUUCAACUCACACAAUUAUGCAUCCUUUCUUCUGUAUGCCCCUUCUCCUCCCUGAUGCUAAAAGUCUUGACUUAGGUCAGUUUAUAUCAGCUUUUGUGGAUAAAAGAUUUUCAUUUCAUGUUUCAGAGGCACGCAUUUGCUUUCUGGAAAACCAUGCCAUUGAAUAUCUUUAACUUGACAUGCAAUAGCUUUUUUAAAAAAAAAAAAAA
rnacentral:lncRNA from 1 species